rnacentral:rRNA from 1 species
GUCUAUGGCCAUACCACCCUGAACACGGCUGAUCUCGGAAGCUAAGCAGGGUCGGGCCAGGUUAGUACUUGGAUGGGAGAAAAGAACGUGGUAAAGGAAAGAAUCUUGCAAGAAUCUGUUGACAAGGACC